AGAGUUUGAUCCUGGCUCAGAUUGAACGCUGGCGGCAGGCUUAACACAUGCAAGUCGAGCGGUAACAGAGAGUAGCUUGCUACUUUGCUGACGAGCGGCGGACGGGUGAGUAAUGCUUGGGAAUAUGCCUUUGAGUGGGGGACAACAGUUGGAAACGACUGCUAAUACCGCAUAAUGUCUACGGACCAAAGGGGGGGAUCUUCGGACCUCUCGCUCAUUGAUUAGCCCAAGUGAGAUUAGCUAGUUGGUAAGGUAAUGGCUUACCAAGGCGACGAUCUCUAGCUGGUUUGAGAGGAUGAUCAGCCACACUGGGACUGAGACACGGCCCAGACUCCUACGGGAGGCAGCAGUGGGGAAUAUUGCACAAUGGGCGAAAGCCUGAUGCAGCCAUGCCGCGUGUGUGAAGAAGGCCUUCGGGUUGUAAAGCACUUUCAGUUGUGAGGAAAGGGAUGUAGUUAAUAGCUGCAUUCUGUGACGUAACAACAGAAGAAGCACCGCUAACUU
rnacentral:rRNA from 1 species